UUUAUGGAGAGUUUGAUCCUGGCUCAGGAUGAACGCUGGCGGCGUGCCUAAUACAUGCAAGUCGAGCGAACGGACGAGAAGCUUGCUUCUCUGAUGUUAGCGGCGGACGGGUGAGUAACACGUGGAUAACCUACCUAUAAGACUGGGAUAACUUCGGGAAACCGGAGCUAAUACCGGAUAAUAUUUUGAACCGCAUGGUUCAAAAGUGAAAGACGGUCUUGCUGUCACUUAUAGAUGGAUCCGCGCUGCAUUAGCUAGUUGGUAAGGUAACGGCUUACCAAGGCAACGAUGCAUAGCCGACCUGAGAGGGUGAUCGGCCACACUGGAACUGAGACACGGUCCAGACUCCUACGGGAGGCAGCAGUAGGGAAUCUUCCGCAAUGGGCGAAAGCCUGACGGAGCAACGCCGCGUGAGUGAUGAAGGUCUUCGGAUCGUAAAACUCUGUUAUUAGGGAAGAACAUAUGUGUAAGUAACUGUGCACAUCUUGACGGUACCUAAUCAGAAAGCCACGGCUAACUACGUGCCAGCAGCCGCGGUAAUACGUAGGUGGCAAGCGUUAUCCGGAAUUAUUGGGCGUAAAGCGCGCGUAGGCGGUUUUUUAAGUCUGAUGUGAAAGCCCACGGCUCAACCGUGGAGGGUCAUUGGAAACUGGAAAACUUGAGUGCAGAAGAGGAAAGUGGAAUUCCAUGUGUAGCGGUGAAAUGCGCAGAGAUAUGGAGGAACACCAGUGGCGAAGGCGACUUUCUGGUCUGUAACUGACGCUGAUGUGCGAAAGCGUGGGGAUCAAACAGGAUUAGAUACCCUGGUAGUCCACGCCGUAAACGAUGAGUGCUAAGUGUUAGGGGGUUUCCGCCCCUUAGUGCUGCAGCUAACGCAUUAAGCACUCCGCCUGGGGAGUACGACCGCAAGGUUGAAACUCAAAGGAAUUGACGGGGACCCGCACAAGCGGUGGAGCAUGUGGUUUAAUUCGAAGCAACGCGAAGAACCUUACCAAAUCUUGACAUCCUUUGACAACUCUAGAGAUAGAGCCUUCCCCUUCGGGGGACAAAGUGACAGGUGGUGCAUGGUUGUCGUCAGCUCGUGUCGUGAGAUGUUGGGUUAAGUCCCGCAACGAGCGCAACCCUUAAGCUUAGUUGCCAUCAUUAAGUUGGGCACUCUAAGUUGACUGCCGGUGACAAACCGGAGGAAGGUGGGGAUGACGUCAAAUCAUCAUGCCCCUUAUGAUUUGGGCUACACACGUGC
rnacentral:rRNA from 1 species